rnacentral:lncRNA from 1 species
AUGACAGUUAUCUCUCCCUCUUUCUCCUCCUUCACUCCAAAAACUGCAACCUCCUCUUUUUUUACAGUCACAUCCUCCUCUUCUUCUUUCACUCUGAUCGGGUCUUCCUCUUCUUUCACUGAAACGUCUUUCUCUUCUUCUUUCACUGUAACAGCCUCACCCUCUACUUCUCCUCCUUCACUCCAAACACUGCAUCCUAUAAAUCAAAUCACAUGUUAUUUGUCACAUACAGGUGUUCAGCAGAUGUUAUUUGUCACAUACAGGUGUUCAGCAGAUGUUAUUUGUCACAUACAGGUGUUCAGCAGAUGUUAUUUGUUACAUACACCUGUUCAGCAGAUGUUAUUUGUCACAUACAGGUGUUCAGCAGAUGUUAUUUGUCACAUACAGGUGUUCAGCAGAUGUUAUUGCGGGUGUAGUGAAAUGCUUGUGUUUCUAGCUCUGACAGUGCACUAAUAUCUAACGAUACACACAAUCUAAAGGAAGGGAAUUAAGAAUAUAUAAAUAUAUGGACGAGCGAUGUCAGAGCAGCACAGACUGAGAUACAGUAGAAUAGGAUAGAAUACAGUAUAUACAUAUGAGAUGAGUAAUGCAUAGACUGAGAUACAGUAGAAUAGAAUAGAAUACAGUAUAUACAUAUGAGAUGAGUAAUGCAUAGACUGAGAUACAGUAGAAUAGGAUAGAAUACAGUAUAUACAUAUGAGAUGAGUAAUGCAUAGACUGAGAUACAGUAGAAUAGGAUAGAAUACAGUAUAUACAUAUGAGAUGAGUAAUACAUAGACUGAGAUACAGUAGAAUAGGAUAGAAUACAGUAUAUACAUAUGAGAUGAGUAAUGCAUAGACUGAGAUACAGUAGAAUAGGAUAGAAUACAGUAUAUACAUAUGAGAUGAGUAAUGCAUAGACUGAGAUACAGUAGAAUAGGAUAGAAUACAGUAUAUACAUAUGAGAUGAGUAAUGCAUAGACUGAGAUACAGUAGAAUAGUAUAGAAUACAGUAUAUACAUAUGAGAUGAGUAAUGCAUAGACUGAGAUACAGUAGAAUAGGAUAGAAUACAGUAUAUACAUAUGAGAUGAGUAAUGCAUAGACUGAGAUACAGUAGAAUAGGAUAGAAUACAGUAUAUACAUAUGAGAUGAGUAAUGCAUAGACUGAGAUACAGUAGAAUAGUAUAGAAUACAGUAUAUACAUAUGAGAUGAGUAAUGCAUAGACUGAGAUACAGUAGAAUAGGAUAGAAUACAGUAUAUACAUAUGAGAUGAGUAAUGCAUAGACUGAGAUACAGUAGAAUAGGAUAGAAUACAGUAUAUACAUAUGAGAUGAGUAAUGCAUAGACUGAGAUACAGUAGAAUAGGAUAGAAUACAGUAUAUACAUAUGAGAUGAGUAAUGCAUAGACUGAGAUACAGUAGAAUAGGAUAGAAUACAGUAUAUACAUAUGAGAUGAGUAAUGCAUAGACUGAGAUACAGUAGAAUAGGAUAGAAUACAGUAUAUACAUAUGAGAUGAGUAAUGCAUAGACUGAGAUACAGUAGAAUAGGAUAGAAUACAGUAUAUACAUAUGAGAUGAGUAAUGCAUAGACUAAGAUACAGUAGAAUAGUAUAGAAUACAGUAUAUACAUAUGAGAUGAGUAAUGCAUAGACUGAGAUACAGUAGAAUAGUAUAGAAUACAGUAUAUACAUAUGAGAUGAGUAAUGCAUAGACUGAGAUACAGUAGAAUAGGAUAGAAUACAGUAUAUACAUAUGAGAUGAGUAAUGCAUAGACUGAGAUACAGUAGAAUAGGAUAGAAUACAGUAUAUACAUAUGAGAUGAGUAAUGCAUAGACUGAGAUACAGUAGAAUAGUAUAGAAUACAGUAUAUACAUAUGAGAUGAGUAAUGCAUAG